rnacentral:rRNA from 1 species
CGAGGGAAAGGUGAAAAGCAACCAUGCAGAAUGGGUUGAAACAGCAGUGAAAGCGCUACCGGGAUAAGGGCUGGGGAUUGCUUGUGUCGCUUGCGCGUGCUUCAGUGCUGUGCUCGCGGACGGCAUGCAUCGAUUAGGAUGGGGAGAACAGGGCCAUCGGGAAUUCGGCUGGAUCCGUCCAGUGUUGUAGCCCGGAGGUCAAUGGAGCCUCUUCUGACCGUUGAGUGUCUUGCGAUUGUCAGCCGCCCGUCUUGAAACACGGACCAAGGAGUGCACCUUGCAUGCGAGUCGAAGGGACUGUAAUCCCAAAGGCGAAGCGAAAGCGAAGGCUGCGAACCCUCACGGCGUCGGCAGCACCCGCCUUGUGCGAGGUAGAGCAUGUAGGGUGCGACCCGAAAGAUGGUGAACUAUGCCCGGGUAAGGUGAAGCCAGUGGAAACGCUGGUGGAGGCCUGUAGCGGUUCUGACGUGCAGAUCGAUCGUGUAACCUGGGUAUAGGGGCGAAAGACCUAUCGAACCGUCUAAUGGCUGGUUCCCCCCGAAGUUUCCCUCAGGAUAGCUGUGUCCCUAUUGUCAGUUGCACGCGGUAAAGCGAAUGAUUAGGUGUCUCGGGGACGUUAUUGUCCUCGGCUCAUUCUCAAACUGUGAAUUGUGUGCGCACCGCGCGUGACCUAACGGCACGCCGGGCGAAUGACAGGACGCAAGUGGGCUGGUUUUGGUAAGCAG